GACGAACGCUGGCGGCGUGCUUAACACAUGCAAGUCGAACGGAAAGGCCCUGCUUUUGUUGGGUGCUCGAGUGGCGAACGGGUGAGUAACACGUGAGUAACCUGCCCUUGACUUUGGGAUAACUUCAGGAAACUGGGGCUAAUACCGGAUAGGAGCUCCUGCUGCAUGGUGGGGGUUGGAAAGUUUCGGCGGUUGGGGAUGGACUCGCGGCUUAUCAGCUUGUUGGUGGGGUGGUGGCUUACCAAGGCUUUGCCGGGUAGCCGGCCUGAGAGGGUGACCGGCCACAUUGGGACUGAGAUACGGCCCAGACUCCUACGGGAGGCAGCAGUGGGGAAUAUUGCACAAUGGGCGGAAGCCUGAUGCAGCAACGCCGCGUGCGGGAUGACGGCCUUCGGGUUGUAAACCUCUUUCGCCUGUGACGAAGCGUGAGUGACGGUAAUGGGUAAAGAAGCACCGGCUAACUACGUG
rnacentral:rRNA from 1 species